CCUGGUUGAUCCUGCCAGUAGUCAUAUGCUUGUCUCAAAGAUUAAGCCAUGCAUGUGUAAGCACACACUGUUUUAAAAGUGAAGCCGCGAAUGGCUCAUUACAACAGCCACAGUUUAUUAGAACUUACAAUCAUGGAUAACUGUGGUAAUUCUAGAGCUAAUACAUGAAUUGGUUGAAGUGCUUUUAUUAGAACAAAAACCGAACGGCGUUUGGCGAAUGUUGAACGUCGAAACUGUUUGGUGAAUCUGAAUAACUAUUUCUGAUCGCAUGGUCUAGCACCGGCGACAUCACUUUCAAGUGUCUGCCUUAUCAACCUUCGAUGGUAGUCUAUGCGACUACCAUGGUGAUAACGGGUAACGGAGAAUCAGGGUUCGACUCCGGAGAGGGAGCCUGAGAAACGGCUACCACAUCCAAGGAAGGCAGCAGGCGCGCAAAUUACCCACUCCCAGCUUGGGGAGGUAGUGACGAAAAAUAACGAGACGAUUCUCGUUUGAGAAACGUUAUCGAAAUGAGUACGCUUUACACACGCUAACGAGUAGCAAUUGGAGGGCAAGUCUGGUGCCAGCAGCCGCGGUAAUUCCAGCUCCAAUAGCGUAUAUUAAAGUUGCUGCGGUUAAAACGCUCGUAGUUGAAUUGUGGUCUUAGACAACAGUCCCCCUACAUAGGUGUGGCACGGUUGCUCGAGAUCUUCAUUCGUGGUUGCUGUUGUUGCUCUUCAUUGAGUGUCAAUGGUGCCUCGAGAUUUUACUUUGAAAAAAUUAGAGUGCUCAAAGCAGGUUGUGAUGCCUGAAUAAUGGUGCAUGGAAUAAUAGAAUACGAUCUCGGUUCUAUUUUGUUGUUCUCGAACCGGAGAUAAUGAUUGAAGGGAACAGACGGGGGCAUUCGUAUUGCUGCGUUAGAGGUGAAAUUCUUGGAUCGCAGCAAGAUGAACAAUUGCGAAAGCAUUUGCCAAGAAUGUUUUCAUUAAUCAAGAACGAAAGUCGGAGGUUCGAAGGCGAUCAGAUACCGCCCUAGUUCUAACGGUAAACUAUGCCAACCAGCGAUUCGCCGAAGUUCAUUUAAGACUCGGCGAGCAGCUUCCGGGAAACCAAAGUGUUUCGGUUCCGGGGGAAGUAUGGUUGCAAAGCUGAAACUUAAAGGAAUUGACGGAAGGGCACCACCAGGAGUGGAGCCUGCGGCUUAAUUUGACUCAACACGGGAAAACUCACCCGGCCCGGACACUGGAAGGAUUGACAGAUUGACAGCUCUUUCUUGAUUCAGUGGGUAGUGGUGCAUGGCCGUUCUUAGUUGGUGGAGCGAUUUGUCUGGUUAAUUCCGAUAACGAACGAGACUCUACCCUAUUAAAUAGUGACAGUAUUGUAUUUUUUGUGCUGAUCACUUCUUAGAGGGACUGGCAAAUUGAAAGCUGCACGAAAAAGAGCAAUAACAGGUCUGUGAUGCCCUUCGAUGUCCGGGGCUGCACGCGCGCUACAAUGAAAGCGUCAACGUGAGUUACGUCCUUACCUGAAAAGGUUUGGCAAUCGAAUGAAACGUUUUCUUGAAUGGAAUAGGGAAUUGCAAUUGUUUCCCUUGAACGAGGAAUUCCCAGUAAGCGUGAGUCAUUAGCUCGCGUUGAUUACGUCCCUGCCCUUUGUACACACCGCCCGUCGCUACUACCGAUUGGAUGAUUUAGUGAGGUGUUUUGACUGGCGCCAGUAGUCGGAUGUAUUCGGCUUCGCGCCGGGAAAUUUCCCAAACCAAAUCAUCUAGAGGAAGUAAAAGUCGUAACAAGGUUUCCGUAGGUGAACCUGCGGAAG
rnacentral:rRNA from 1 species